AGGGCGUCUAAGGCAGGUCCCCACUACAUCGCCUUACUGAUGAGUCUAGUAGUGUGACUGAGACGAAACGUCAC
rnacentral:hammerhead_ribozyme from 17 species